rnacentral:rRNA from 1 species
GACGAACGCUGGCGGCGUGCUUAACACAUGCAAGUCGUACGGUAAGGCCCUUUCGGGGUUCCACGAGUGGCGGACGGGUGCGUAACACGUGAGUAACCUGCCCACAACUCUGGGUUAACGCUAGGAAACUGGUGCUAAUUCUGGUUAUGUGCUCCUGCUGCUUGGGGGGGGUUGGAAAGCUCUUGCGGCUGUGGAUGGACUGGCGGCCUAUCGGCUUGUUGGUGGGGUAGUGGCCUACCAAGGCGGCGACGGGUAGCCGGCCUGAGAGUGUGACCGGCCACAUUGGGACUGAGAUACGGCCCAGACUCCUACGGGAGGCAGCAGGGGGGAAUAUUGCACAAUGGGCGCAAGCCUGAUGCAGCAACGCCGCGUGCGGGAUGACGGCCUUCGGGUUGUAAACCGCUUUCAGCAGGGACGAAGCUUUUUGUGACGGUACCUGCAGAAGAAGCACCGGCUAACUACGUG